rnacentral:rRNA from 1 species
GACGAACGCUGGCGGCGUGCCUAAUACAUGCAAGUCGAACGAACCGCGACUAAGUGCUUGCACUAAGUCGAGGUGAGUGGCGAACGGGUGAGUAACACGUGGGUAACCUACCUCAUAGUGGGGGAUAACAGUCGGAAACGACUGCUAAUACCGCAUAGGACAUAGGAUCACAUGAUCCAGUGAGGAAAGGUGGCGCAAGCUAUCGCUAAGAGAUGGACCCGCGGUGCAUUAGCUAGUUGGUAGGGUAAAGGCCUACCAAGGCGAUGAUGCAUAGCCGACCUGAGAGGGUGAUCGGCCACAUUGGGACUGAGACACGGCCCAAACUCCUACGGGAGGCAGCAGUAGGGAAUCUUCCGCAAUGGACGCAAGUCUGACGGAGCAACGCCGCGUGAGUGAAGAAGGUCUUCGGAUCGUAAAGCUCUGUUGUUAGAGAAGAACAGCGCAUAGAGUAACUGCUAUGCGUGUGACGGUAUCUAACCAGAAAGCCACGGCUAACUACGUG